rnacentral:lncRNA from 10 species
GCAUCAUAAGGAGUUAGGACAGAGCAGUGACAGAUAAGGUCAAAGUGAUGGGCUGGGGUCAGAACCACAGGGACCCCAAAGGCCUUACUAAGAGGUUUGAAUUUUAUUGUAAGUGUGAUGUGGUGUGAUUUGAGACUCUUAAGACUGACAAUGUGAUGUUUUCAAAAAAUCACUCUAGCUACUUUCUGAAGAAUGGAAUAGAGGGAAGGAAGACUAGAUACAAGGAAACUCAGAAGACUAAAAUCCAAGCAAGAUAUUAUGGUCCAUUUGAUGGGAGACUUGGCAGUAAAGAUAGAGAGAGGUAGAUAGAUUUGAGAUGUAUUUUGGAAGCAAAUCAACAGGACUUGAUGAGACAACGAAUCUUAGAAAAUUAUUCUCAGGUUUCUUGCAAUGGUAGGCAGCCUCUAUAAUGCUCCCAAUUAUCUCCACUUCCAAACCUCUCCCUCAUUGUAACAGAGUUGUUCUGUGUGUUCAACAGAAUAUGGCAGAUAUAACAGCACGUAAUUUCCAAGGCAAGGUCAUAAAAGACAUUGUAGCUUCUGCCUUGUCCCUUCCUCUUGGAUCUCUUGCUAUGGAGUAGCAGCCCCAUGAAGACACCCGUGGUGGAAGAUCACUGAGGACUCCUGCCAACAGCCACCCAGUGACUGAGGCCUCUUGCAGAAAUCCAUAUGAGUGGGCCAGCUGACAAGAAAAUCUUCCAGCUCUAGUCAAGCCUUCAGAACACCAGCUCUUAGUGCCAGGAACUGCCAGGUAAGAAUUCUGACUACACUGAGGCCACCAUGCUCUGAGGAAGUCAAGCCAGAUGGAAAGAUCACAGCAGGAGAACUGGUCAGCAGUCAUACUCUUGAACUCAUCCCAACCCAGACUCCAGACAUGUGAAUUGACAAGUCUUCAGAUGAUUCCAGCACAAAGCCAUUGAGUCACCUCCAGCCAUUGAGUGUCCCCAGCCGAGACACCAGUCACCAUCAAGCAGAGCCAGUAUGCCUGUUAUGCCUGUCCAAAUUCUUGACCCACUAAAUUCUAUGAAAUUAAUAAAUGGUUGUUUAAGUUACUAAAUUUUAAACUUAAUUUGUUAUGCAGUAAUAGGAAUUGUUCCUGUCUGUGAGCAAGUCCUCAUGGACAAUAAACUCAGAUCUGUCUGUGGAAUCUGGGAGAAAAAGAGACUGUUAUCCUUCCCCAUGGUACAGCCCCAGAAAGAUAAAAGUCUCAGAAUAAAACACUGUACAUGCAUAGCUCAUUUUAUUGGGCUUUGUUUAUUGCAUCUCACAAACGUUACGCUUUUUACAGACUGAAGGUUUGUGGCAACCCUGUGUCUAUUGAGCAAGUCUACCAGCACUAUUUUUCCAACAGUAUGUGCUCGCUUUGUGUCUC